rnacentral:rRNA from 1 species
AGAUGGCGACCGGCGCACGGGUGAGUAACACGUAUCCAACCUGCCGAUGACUCGGGGAUAGCCUUUCGAAAGAAAGAUUAAUACCCGAUGGCAUAAUAGAACCGCAUGGUUUGAUUAUUAAAGAAUUUCGGUUAUCGAUGGGGAUGCGUUCCAUUAGGCAGUUGGUGGGGUAACGGCCCACCAAACCUUGGAUGGAUAGGGGUUCUGAGAGGAAGGUCCCCCACAUUGGAACUGAGACACGGUCCAAACUCCUACGGGAGGCAGCAUG